rnacentral:rRNA from 1 species
UACAGAGGUCCCAAGCGUUGUCCGGAAUUACUGGGCGUAAAGAGCUCGUAGGCGGUUUGUCGCGUCGUCCGUGAAAACUUGGGGCUCAACCCCAAGCUUGCGGGCGAUACGGGCAGACUUGAGUACUGCAGGGGAGACUGGAAUUCCUGGUGUAGCGGUGAAAUGCGCAGAUAUCAGGAGGAACACCGGUGGCGAAGGCGGGUCUCUGGGCAGUAACUGACGCUGAGGCACGAAAGCGUGGGGAGCAAACAGG